GGAGCGGUCGUGGUUUCAGCCUCAGUCUCUGGCAACACUGUGCCUGCUUAUGAUGUGAAGUAGUCUGCUGUGGUGGACCGGGUCGAGCCUUCUGGAGAAACCCGAUCCAGUUCGGGACAGAGUCUGGUCCCGCUGAGAGACCACCGAGGGUUCAGUCAACCUGUGUGUGUUCGGGGGUCAACACACUCCUCGUGCUCUCGCCACAUCUGUGACCUCAUCACGCCAUUUCUGUCUGGUAACCUCGACCCUCCAGUUGAUUGACAGCUGUGACCCCGCCCCCCUUUCAGCAGCAGCAUCUUGGCCACACCAGCAGCUGCAAUGCAUUAUGGCCUCUAUAACUCAUCAGGUGACGUCAGGUGUGACAGCUCACUUCCUGUCUGGGGCGAAGGGUUUCAUCCUUCACCAGAGUUCAUGGCUGUUCCUCCCAUAAUGCACUGCUUCCCGAAGCUCCAGAGUGGAAACAAAGUCAGCCGAGAUUAAAAGUACAAUUUCCUUCAACUUUUUAAAUAA